rnacentral:rRNA from 1 species
GACGUAGGGGGCAAGCGUUGUCCGGAAUUACUGGGCGUAAAGCGCGUGCAGGCGGCCUGGUAAGUCCCGUGUGAAAGCCUACGGCUCAACUGUAGGACGUCGCGGGAGACUGCCGGGCUCGAGGGUAGGAGAGGGAAGUGGAAUUCCCGGUGUAGCGGUGAAAUGCGUAGAUAUCGGGAGGAACGCCAGUGGCGAAGGCGGCUUCCUGGCCUGCCCCUGACGCUGAGACGCGAAAGCUGGGGGAGCAAACGGG